AAUUUAUUAGUAUAUAUAGUACAAUUAAUUUCCAAUUAAUAAGUAAAAUAAAUUA
rnacentral:tRNA from 1 species